CCUACGGUGGGCAGCAGUGGGGAAUAUUGGACAAUGGGCGAAAGCCUGAUCCAGCCAUGCCGCGUGUGUGAAGAAGGCCUUCGGGUUGUAAAGCACUUUCAGUGGGGAAGAAAGCCUUGGGGCUAAUACCCUCGAGGAAGGACAUCACCCACAGAAGAAGCACCGGCUAACUCCGUGCCAGCAGCCGCGGUAAUACGGAGGGUGCGAGCGUUAAUCGGAAUUACUGGGCGUAAAGCGCGCGUAGGCGGUCUGAUAAGCCGGUUGUGAAAGCCCCGGGCUCAACCUGGGAACGGCAUCCGGAACUGUCAGGCUAGAGUGCAGGAGAGGAAGGUAGAAUUCCCGGUGUAGCGGUGAAAUGCGUAGAGAUCGGGAGGAAUACCAGUGGCGAAGGCGGUCUUCUGGACUGACACUGACGCUGAGGUGCGAAAGCGUGGGUAGCAAACAGGAUUAGAUACCCGGGUAGUC
rnacentral:rRNA from 1 species